rnacentral:lncRNA from 1 species
AGUUCUCUUUCCCAGAUUUGACUGUUCACAUUCUACAGACAUACAAUUUUUUCUAAUAGACAACCAACGCAUACUAAACAAUUUUUUUCGUUCACAAAUUCUCCCACCAUGUUUUACUUUCGAUCUAAUUCAAUAUUUUGAUAUGGAAGGCGGUGAACACGGAGAUGAUCAUUCCAGAUCCGGCGGAGAUCCUCUCGGCCCGAUAUCCAAACAAAAUUUGUUCUCAGAACUUCUCAAUGUAAGUUUCAAUGGACCAGAUCUACUACACCUAACAUGUCCAUCAACAAAGUUGUCCAUAUAGUUUACUACUUAUCUUUUUGUGUUUAUCCUUCACCAGUUUAAGAAAGCUUAUGCAAUCCUUGCCAGAGUACCACAACGUUGCCUCCAAAUACCAAAAUUGUCCAUUACUUCUCAAUGUAAGUUUUGACAGACGAGAUCUACUGCACCUAAUAUGGCCAUCAACACAAUUGUCCAUAUCUUCUUCUAACUCAUCUUUUUGUGUUUUUCCUUCACCGGUUUAAGAAAGCCUAGACAAACGUUGUCGGAGUACAAAUCUUACUGACCACAUGUCAGAGGACACGCAUAGGAGUUGUCUCUUGGAAUCUGUCAAAGUGAGUUUUCGAUGGACCAGAUCUACUUUAUAUAUUUUGUCCAUCAUAUAUUACUUACUCAUCUAUUAUUUUUUACAUCAUUUUAUAGAUUGUCUAUCGACUAUACACACAUCGAUAGGCAAGUGGACAUCACUACACAUUCUUGAUUAUCUUGUCUUGUCCACCGUAAUUAAGCUGCUAAAAUCGGAAAUCGCUGCUCCUUCUUCACCACCCACACCUUCCACAAAAUUUCUCCUAUACUUGUCCUCCAUUAAUACUAUUUCAGAUCUGAUUUUGCAAUUUUUUAUUUUUUGUUUUGCUUCUAAACACUCACUAAAGCAUUUGUCCUCUGGAUAUUAGCAUAUAUUGUAGCAUUUAAUGCCACUGUUACUAGCCCCAAAAACAUCCCAUCACGUUCCAACUUUCGAACACAAUUGGCAACUGAGUUGUGAGUUGGUGAGGGCAUAGUUGUCUUUUCGUGCUAUAUUAAAAAUCCUAUUAUGGCAUUCAAUAAAAUACUUAUAAAAAAGUGGCAGAUUGACAAGUUUGAGUUUAGGAAAGGGUAUAGAAUAUAAUAUUCCCAAAAGUUUAUCGUCAAAGUUUAUUUAAUUAAUAUAUUUUUGUUUCUUAUAACUUUUUGUUACAGAAAAUGGUACAUUCAAUUGCAU